GCCCUGGGGGGUCGGGUACAGAAGAGGGACACAGUCAGUGUUAGGGUGUUAACAGCUUUCCAAAAGCUGUUCAAGAGAGUGAACAGGUUGGGAUGGGGGUGAUGAAGACAAAGAGGCCCCGGAAGUGGAGUUCUUGUCCAGGGUCGCAGAGCUGGGGGGAGCACUGCAGACUGAAGCACAGAGGUUAGCCUGAGGUCACUGGGUUCCAGGGCUGGGUGAGAUGCAGGGGAGCCUGGAGCCCAUGGAACCCUGCCACGGUCACCUGCUUCUUGCAACUUUCCUCUUCAUGCAGAUUGUUACAAGUAUAGCAGCACUUAGGGAACCCAGAGAAGUGAGUGAGCGGAUGGUGUUCCAGAACCUCACUGGUCCUGAUCCCUCUCAUGAUCUUUGUGACUGUGGUGUCCUGGAACUCUUCACAUCAUUCUUCCAGGCCUUGGGCCUGGGGACCUGGAACAGAUUCUAAGCCCAGGGUCCUCAGAUCAGGCUAGAGGUUAUAUGGAGUGGUUCCUAUUGCUGGCAACCAGUGGAGUGAGGUGUGGAGGAAUGUUGCCCCAGCAUGGGUACCAGUGUGUGCAGACCCUUGGAGGGGAGACUGAGCUGAAUAAGGGAACCUCAGUGUCCUUUCUUGUGGGAACAGAGAGCAAGGGGGCAGGAGCCAGACCUGGAUGGCACCCUGAGAAGUUGGGUGUCUAUUCUGGAGGUGAUGGGAACAAUGGAAGGUUUGGAGCAGUGGAGGGAUCUGAUCAAGCUCUUAUGGGGCUUCCUGUGAUUGCACCGUGGAGAACAGACUAGGGGUGUGAGGAAAGUGGCAGGAAGACCAGGGAAGAGGGUACUGCAGUAGUCCAGUGAGUGUUGAUGAUGUGGACCAAUGCGGUGGCCUUGGAGGUAGAAAAAGUGGCUGGAUUCUGAAUCAAGUUUUUUUUAGUAGGUCUGUGAUUUUCUGAUUUUGAAGAUGAGAGAGAAAAUAGUAGAAGUCAGGGGUGACUGCAAGAUUUUUGGUUUAUCAGCUGGAAGGCUAGAAGCUCCAACUGGGACGUAGAAGUCGGUGAUAGGAUUAAUUUUCCUUCAAGAUACUAGUUUUGUUUUGGCCAUGUUAAGUAUAUGAGAUGUUUCAGAGAACUAAUGAGUAGAAGUAGAAAUGGGUAGCUGGAUGCACAGGUCUGCAAAAUGUGGACCAGGAUGGAGCUGUGUUUCUUAGUUUGGGCAGCUAAAACAAAAUACCUUUAUUUCUCAGAGUUCUGGAAGCCAGGAAGUCCAAGAUGAAAGUGCUGGCAGCUUCAUUUCCUGGUGAGGGUCUCUCUUCCUGUCUUGCUGAUGGCUGCCUCCUCACUGUAUCCUCACAUAGCCUUUUGUUGGUGCAAACAAGUGAAGAGAGCAGGAGAUCUUUCUCUCCUUAGAAGGGUCCCACCCUCCGAAUCUAAACCUCCCAAAGCCCCAACCUCCAAAUACCAUCACACUGGGGGUUAGGGCUCCAACGAAUGAUUUUGGGAGGGUGCAUACACUCAGUCCAUAAUUGCUGUGGAUCACAUUUAGGCAGGGUAAUCCCAGCCAUGAUGAUGUUAAUAGUAGUCCAGGAAGGGGAGGGCGGGAUCAGAGGGCUGGGUCUCAUGCUUGGUCACCUAUUUGUGGAGUGGCAGACAUCAUAAACACAAGUGAAAGACAGAAGUGGUGGUGGGAACAGUGUAGAAGUGUAUGAGAUGGCCACCAUGUACAGAUGGCCAAGGCUUCUGAGGGAUGAGAUGCAGAGGCAUAGGGGUGGUGGAGGCAGUGAGGCCAGGACUGCUGCUUAUUCAGUGCUCUGGGGUCACCAGGAUUUUGUCAUGACCUUGGUGUGUCAAGGGAGUUUCAGCCAGGCACGUGGAUUAGCUCAGGGGCCAAGCUCAGGGGCCAAGUGGUCAUGUAGGAGAAUUGCUGGACCUGGGGUGGAAGGUCUCUGGCACUGGUUUUGAAUGAGGGUUAGGAAGAGAGGAAGGCUUGACAGGCGAGAGCCCAUCAAGUACAGCACAAGUGGAGGAGGGUCAUGGGUGGUUGUGAGUGGCUGAGGUUGAAGCAAGGACUAGUCAGGCAGGGAGAGCUGUAGAGCAGGAUUCUGGGCUGUCUCUGCCACUGGAGAUGGGGUAGUUCUGGAUCCUGUUUGAAUUGCCAGCACUCUAUAUGCCAUGUGCUGAAUAACAUGGAGCAAGGAGAACUGGGGGAGGGAGUGGGAACUGAAGGCCUGAGGGCCCUGGCAUUGAAAUGGGAGCCCACACCCUUAGUUAUGUCUGAGGGGUAUGAUCUGGGGGAUCCUAGCAGAAUUGCUUAACGAGAAAGAGUAUUUCCCUGCAGGCCAGGCCCGGAGCUUAGGUAUCGUCUAACUGCCCACCUACCUGUGGCUGCUGUGGAUGGAUAUAGUGAUCAAAGGGACCAGGAGGAGAGAGUGGGCAUCAGUGGCAUCAGGGCAUCUCUUCUCUGAGAUGGGGAAAUGAGGAGGUGGGUGAGCAGGGGAAGAAUGAGUGGGUAGAUGAACUUGGGGUCCUAGGAGAGAAGCUGAUUGUAGAAUGAACCGUCCCAUUAUUGGCAGAGUUGUGUGACCUUUGAGGAUGUGGCUGUGUACUUCUCCCAGGAGGAGUGGGGGCUCCUUGAUGAGGCACAGAGGCUCCUGUACCACAAUGUUAUGCUAGAGAACUUUGCACUUACAACAUCCAUGGGACUUGCUUCAUUCGGGUCCCAUGUAGUUACACAACUGGGAGUCUGGGGAGCGCCCUGCUUGCUUCACAGGGUGAACAUGACAGGAUGGUCUCAGAGGAAGCCUGGCCCUGCAGUGUGUGAGACUUCCAAUUCCUUCACACCCUUGUCAAUGCCUGAGAGAGAAAGAGAGCACAGCACAAGCAAGGGGAG